GUCAGAGAUGGGUAUAAUUUUAAAAACACAGAUAAAAAAUAAAUAUUCUUUUGUUCUAUUGCAUGAAAGGGCUGGAUGCUGAAACUUCAGACAUGUUUACUUAGAUUUCAAAACACUGAAGGGCUGACAUCACUGUUUUCUUCUUUCUUCAAAGCACUCAACACAAAAGACCCAACUCACCUUGUGAUUUACAUAUGUCAUGUGCUUUGACAAUGAUGUUGGCAAUCCCUCAUCCAGUUCCGUUAGUUCCGUUAGAACCAGCCUCAUCGGUGAAUGACCUUGUCAAGUUUUAGCAGCUUCUGAUGCCAUCAUGAAUUGGUGGAACUACAGUUCCUUGGAAGCCCAGAGCAGCCUUUUGCUCAUCAGCUGUGUCCCAGCAUCUAAAUUAUCUCAAGGACUUCUUGCCUCCAAAGCCUACACCCUUGAAACUGUUCACCUCCUGGCCGGGCGUGAUGACUAGGCUCUCCCAUGAUAGAAUAAAGGAUUUUGGAAGGCGUACGUUUGGUUCCUA
rnacentral:lncRNA from 1 species